UACGAAGGGGGCUAGCGUUGCUCGGAAUCACUGGGCGUAAAAGGGCGCGUAGGCGGCCAUUCAAGUCGGGGGUGAAAGCCUGUGGCUCAACCACAGAAUUGCCUUCGAUACUGUUUGGGCUUGAGUAUGGUAGAGGUCAGUGGAACUGCGAGUGUAGAGGUGAAAUUCGUAGAUAUUCGCAAGAACACCAGUGGCGAAGGCGGACUCACUGGCC
rnacentral:rRNA from 1 species